rnacentral:rRNA from 1 species
GGUUUCCGUAGGUGAACCUGCGGAAGGAUCAUUAUUGAAAUAAAUCUGAUAGGUUGCUGCUGGCUCUCUAGGGGGCAUGUGCACGCUUGUCAUCUUUAUAUCUCCACCUGUGCACCUUUUGUAGACCUGGAUAGGUUUGAGGAUUGACUUCUUGUCUUUCCUGGUCUAUGUUUCUUCAAUAUACCCCAAUGUAUGUUAUAGAAUGUAAUAAUUGGGCCUUUGUGCCUAUAUAAACCUUAUACAACUUUCAGCAACGGAUCUCUUGGCUCUCGCAUCGAUGAAGAACGCAGCGAAAUGCGAUAAGUAAUGUGAAUUGCAGAAUUCAGUGAAUCAUCGAAUCUUUGAACGCACCUUGCGCUCCUUGGUAUUCCGAGGAGCAUGCCUGUUUGAGUGUCAUUAAUAUAUCAACCUCCUCAAGCUUUUGCUUGUUGAGUGUUGGAUGUGGGGUCUUUGCUGGCCUCUUCUUCUGAGGUCAGCUCCCCUGAAAUGCAUUAGCGAAACAAUUUGUUGACCGUUCAUUGGUGUGAUAACUAUCUACGCUAUUGACGGUGAGGCAAGUUCUGCUUCUAACAGUCCAUUGACUUGGACAAAUUUUCAUUAAUGUGACCUCAAAUCAGGUAGGACUACCCGCUGAACUUAAGCAUAUCAAUAAGCGGAGGAAAAGAAACUAACAAGGAUUCCCCUAGUAACUGCGAGUGAAGCGGGAAAAGCUCAAAUUUAAAAUCUGGCAGUCUUUGGCUGUCCGAGUUGUAAUCUAGAGAAGUGUUAUCCGCGCUGGACCGUGUACAAGUCUCCUGGAAUGGAGCGUCAUAGAGGGUGAGAAUCCCGUCUUUGACACGGACUACCAGAGCUUUGUGAUGCGCUCUCAAAGAGUCGAGUUGUUUGGGAAUGCAGCUCAAAAUGGGUGGUAAAUUCCAUCUAAAGCUAAAUAUUGGCGAGAGACCGAUAGCGAACAAGUACCGUGAGGGAAAGAUGAAAAGAACUUUGGAAAGAGAGUUAAACAGUACGUGAAAUUGCUGAAAGGGAAACGCUUGAAGUCAGUCGCGUUGUCCAGGGAUCAACCUUGCUUUUGCUUGGUGCACUUUCUGGUUAACGGGUCAGCAUCAAUUUUGACUGUUGGAAAAAGAUUAAGGGAAUGUGGCAUCUUAAGAUGUGUUAUAGCCCUUGGUUGUAUACAAUGGUUGGGAUUGAGGAACUCARCACGCCGAAAGGCCGGGUUUUUAACCAUCGUACGUGC